AAACUUAGGAUAAUAUAAACCAAGG
rnacentral:tRNA from 2 species